CCGUUAGGGCUUCCUCGUCACUCUCAUUCCUCUUCGACCACUCGCCCGACUGCUCGCCAUGCUCUCCACCACCGCUGCUGCUCUUGGUGUUUCGAACAAGUUGAGUCGUCGUUCGUCGUGGUCUUUUGAAGAAGGUGAGGUUGAUUAAAUAUACACUUGGUGCUAGUUGCCUGCGUGGAUGCAGAGGGGAAUUAAGCUGAUAUCAUCUUAUUUUUCAUUUUGUUCUGGAUGCUUGAACAAAUACAUCCCAAUAUAUUUUUGGGAUAAGCAAGUCCAUAUUGCAAACUCUUUCCUUUUCUGGGCCUGUAAAUCAAGAUUCUGAUAUCACCUCCUGAUUCAGCAGCUCCUUGUCCUCAAAGACAUCAUAGUACGAGUGUUUCAGUUUUUCAUACUUGUGUUUUUUCCUUAUGGUUCCUUCUCCCCAAGACUGCAUACCUUGCCUUAGUUCAUUCUUAUGUUGAGGUGAAUCCAAAUAAGAAGUUUCAUAAAAGUGAAGCACCAAAGCACAGUGAUGCAGGAGUUAAAAUAUUAUAGAAAGAACAAAGGCAUGGUAUUUGGUGAAACUUCCUGCUAAAAAGAAUCUUAUAGCCUGCAAGUGGGUCUACCAAAUCAAGACUGAGGUGGAUGUGAGAGCACUACAAGGCAGGCCUGGCUGCCAAAGGAUACAGUAAACAAAUUGGAAUCAACUAUUGUGAACCAGAUUGCUCCUCUUGCAAACAUAACCACUAUAAAAUCACUUAUUGCAGUAGCUUCAUCAAUGCAUUGGAACUUGUGGGAGCUAAAUUUAAACACCUGACGGCAGCCAUUUCGGUUUUCUGGGCAGCAGUUACAAAUGAACAAGAUGUUGGAUUUGAUAUGGAACUGGGGAAAGAAAGUUGUAAUAACUGGUACAGUUGUAUCAGCUGCACCAUUUGUGAUUCCUCCACUCUUCCUCAUCUCCAGUUUGGGGUUCAUGGUUUCUGUCCCUUUUGGUUUUGCAUUCAUGGGAUAUGCAUGUACUGCAAAGGUCUUGAAAGUGUUGUCGAUCAAAAGCUACUUGUUCUUGGCUGGGGAGGAUGAUGGUCACUUGAAGAGUAUGAUCCAAAGGUUUGAAGGUGGCAAUGAUACAAAUGGGCAAUUGGAAGGCCUGCCAGAAGAAACAGAGAGGGAGACAAAAAAAAAAAAGAUAGUUCAGAGGAAAAACUUGUGGACACUGGUUUCUUCACAUCUGCAUGUGGUUUUAGUUAUAGAAUAAUUUAUAUAACUUCAAGUUUGCAUUUCAUGCUUAGCUUCAUAAAUUAAUUAAUGUUUUC